CUCCUGGCAAAAAGAUUGGAAAAACCAAGCGGGAAAGUCAUGUCGCAUCCCACCCAUUUCCUGGCCACUGAAGAGCCUGUUUUUCUGGCAACAGAAGCAUACGAUUGUCCCUGUUGUCCUUUCCAGAUGCCACUAAAUCAUAAAAUUCUUUACCAUCUGAGAAAUCACUUAGAUGGAGCAGUCCACCAUGGAGGAGUGACAGAGAAGUUCAAGAAGUUCAGUCAGAUGGUCAUGUUUUGUUUUGUUUUGCUUGAAUAAACUGUUGAAAUAAAAAAA